UGUGCAACCUGAGGGGUGCUGUCGAAGUACUGUCUUUUUUGGAGGGAGAGGCCCCUGGUCACAGGGACCAUGGUUUACUCGAAUUUAUUAUAAUAUUGUAGGGUAUCACAGGAAGUUUUUAUUUUAUUUAUAAAUAAUUUGUCCCCUCCUAGUUGCUGCUUGGAAAGUGUAAUUAUGAAGAAAACAAUUCUCAUUGGGUCAGGGAGAUUCAAGGUUUCUAGGUCACUGACCUAGUUCUUCAGUAGGUUACUGGAACAGUGAUGGGUAUAAAUUCAAACACAUUUUUUGUUACAACAGAUCAAGAUGGACACCAUCAAUGAUAAUGCAAUAGAUCAGUUUGAUUUAGAAAGUCUCCUGGACCAGUGGAGUGACGAAUAUUAUGUGGCGUUAGCCACCACCACCACCACCGCCUCCACCACC